rnacentral:rRNA from 1 species
CCUACGGGUGGCAGCAGUGAGGAAUAUUGGUCAAUGGACGAGAGUCUGAACCAGCCAAGUAGCGUGAAGGAUGACUGCCCUAUGGGUUGUAAACUUCUUUUAUAUGGGAAUAAAACGUUCCACGUGUGGGAUUUUGUAUGUACCAUAUGAAUAAGGAUCGGCUAACUCCGUGCCAGCAGCCGCGGCAAUACGGAGGAUCCGAGCGUUAUCCGGAUUUAUUGGGUUUAAAGGGAGCGUAGGUGGAUUGUUAAGUCAGUUGUGAAAGUUUGCGGCUCAACCGUAAAAUUGCAGUUGAAACUGGCAGUCUUGAGUACAGUAGAGGUGGGCGGAAUUCGUGGUGUAGCGGUGAAAUGCUUAGAUAUCACGAAGAACUCCGAUUGCGAAGGCAGUUCACUGGACUGCAACUGACACUGAGGCUCGAAAGUGUGGGUAUCAAACAGGAUUAGAUACCCUUGUAGUC